rnacentral:rRNA from 1 species
AACGAACGCUGGCGGCAGGCCUAACACAUGCAAGUCGAGCGAAGCCUUCGGGCUUAGCGGCGGACGGGUGAGUAACGCGUGGGAACGUGCCCUUUGGUACGGAAUAGCCCCGGGAAACUGGGAGUAAUACCGUAUGUGGUCGAGAGACGAAAGAUUUAUCGCCAAAGGAUCGGUCCGCGUUGGAUUAGGUAGUUGGGGGGGUAAUGGCCUACCAAGCCGACGAUCCAUAGCUGGUUUGAGAGGAUGAUCAGCCACACUGGGACUGAGACACGGCCCAGACUCCUACGGGAGGCAGCAGUGGGGAAUCUUAGACAAUGGGGGAAACCCUGAUCUAGCCAUGCCGCGUGAUCGAUGAAGGCCUUAGGGUUGUAAAGAUCUUUCAGUGGGGAAGAUAAUGACUGUACCCACAGAAGAAGCCCCGGCUAACUACGUGCCAGCCGCCGCAGUAACAC